rnacentral:lncRNA from 1 species
AUGUAUGUUAGAGGUGUCUGCACAGAGACCCACAGUCCAACUUCUACUCAGCAGUGGACUCAUCACGGGCAGGAGCUGGGGGACCCUGUUAUUCAACUCACGAGGAGCUCAAAGAAGCACGUGAGAAGUAACCAGAAGUGCAACAAAGGAGGAAGAACUUUACGACACGUGUUCUGGAGUAAUGAAUUUUAAUUGCCAGAAGUCAAUAGAUUGGACAAACAUUGAAAUGUUAACCUUUGAUGGAUAGACAUUUACUUAGGGAUUGACUUUGUGGGCUCAGAUGAAACAUCAAAACAACUGGGGGCUGUCAGUAACGGCAGGUAACUGCCCAUUUGAGCUUAGCUAUUAUUAUUUUUACAGUAAAACCCUCAGGGAUGAAGUAGGAUAUGAGGACCCUAAAAUCAUGGGAGGAGCCCUACUGGGAUACAAAUGCACCACUUAAUUUUGUGAGAUCUUCAUUACAUUUUGUCUGUUUAACAAGCAGCCAAAAACUACUUGUUGAGUUGAGUUUGAAUUAAAAAGGGGGA